rnacentral:rRNA from 1 species
ACUGUAAGAAUAAGCACCGGCUAAUUCCGUGCCAGCAGCCGCGGUAAUACGGAAGGUGCAAGCGUUAUCCGGUUUUAUUGGGUUUAAAGGGUGCGUAGGCGGCUUAUUAAGUCAGUUGUGAAAUCCUAGUGCUUAACGCUAGAACUGCAAUUGAUACUAUUAGGCUUGAGUUAAGAAUAGGUAAGUAGAAUUUAUGGUGUAGUAGUGAAAUGCUUAGAUAUCAUAAGGAAUACCAAUAGCGUAGGCAGCUUACUGGUCUUUAACUGACGCUGAGGCACGAAAGCGUGGGGAGCAAACAGGAUUAGAUACCCUGGUAGUCCACGCCGUAAACGAUGAUCACUCGGUAUACAUAAAUUUAUGUGUGUCUAAGCGAAAGCGUUAAGUGAUCCACA